AGAUCAUGAUGUUGACAAUUCCUUAGUAGACUUUUGUACCACUCCCAUGCCUCAUAAAGGGAGUCUCCGGGUUGUUGUUCAAAGUUAGCUAUAACUUUCUUCAACUU